GAUGAACGCUGGCGGCGUGCCUAAUACAUGCAAGUCGAGCGAACGGACGAGAAGCUUGCUUCUCUGAUGUUAGCGGCGGACGGGUGAGUAACACGUGGGUAGCCUACCUAUAAGACUGGGAUAACUUCGGGAAACCGGAGCUAAUACCGGAUAAUAUUUUGAACCGCAUGGUUCAAAAGUGAAAGACGGUCUUGCUGUCACUUAUAGAUGGAUCCGCGCUGCAUUAGCUAGUUGGUAAGGUAACGGCUUACCAAGGCAACGAUGCAUAGCCGACCUGAGAGGGUGAUCGGCCACACUGGAACUGAGACACGGUCCAGACUCCUACGGGAGGCAGCAGUAGGGAAUCUUCCGCAAUGGGCGAAAGCCUGACGGAGCAACGCCGCGUGAGUGAUGAAGGUCUUCGGAUCGUAAAACUCUGUUAUUAGGGAAGAACAUAUGUGUAAGUAACUGUGCACAUCUUGACGGUACCUAAUCAGAAAGCCACGGCUAACUACGUG
rnacentral:rRNA from 1 species